UGGACAAAACCCGGGAGGAAGGUGGGGAUGACGUCAAGUCCUCAUGGCCCUUAUAGGUGGGGCUACACACGUCAUACAAUGGACUGGUACAAAGGGUUGCCAACCCGCGAGGGGGAGCCAAUCCCAUAAAGCCAGUCGUAGUCCGGAUCGCAGUCUGCAACUCGACUGCGUGAAGUCGGAAUCGCUAGUAAUCGUGGAUCAGCAUGUCACGGUGAAUACGUUCCCGGGUCUU
rnacentral:rRNA from 1 species